rnacentral:rRNA from 1 species
UACGAAGGGGGCUAGCGUUGCUCGGAAUCACUGGGCGUAAAGCGCACGUAGGCGGUUUCUUAAGUCAGGGGUGAAAUCCUGGAGCUCAACUCCAGAACUGCCUUUGAUACUGGGAGACUCGAGUCCGGGAGAGGUGAGUGGAACUGCGAGUGUAGAGGUGAAAUUCGUAGAUAUUCGCAAGAACACCAGUGGCGAAGGCGGCUCACUGGCCCGGUACUGACGCUGAGGUGCGAAAGCGUGGGGAGCAAACAGGG